AUCAACUUUUCCUUAUUAUUAGGCUUACAUCAGAAGCAGCAGAAACAGUCGGAUCUGUCCGAUUUUCUUUCAUCGAUAUCGAUGUGGAGGAGGCUUUUGGAUUACCGACCAAGUGGCAACGAUGAAUUUCUACAAGUACGAGAAACAUUAUCUUCCAAAUCGUCGGAAUUUGUGUGACAGCGUUUAGCGAAAUUGCUUACCGGUGGAAGAUUGCGCUAAUGUAUUUGCUAGUGAGGAAGCCACCUCCUAAUUGAGCAAACCUUCUAGUGCUUAGUAGUGAUGCGUCGUUUUAUUUGAAGUGGCCAGAUUUUGAGUAGAUCGUGUGGAGGAUAAUAUAUACAUGUAGCUGUAUCAAGACCUUUUUUUCAUUUCCGAAACUUCAAGCUAUGUGUAGAGCGUUCCGGUGGAAGCGCCUUCCUCCUUGGUUUUCUUCCCGUGUGAAAUUCGAUUUAAAAUGUGCCUGAUACAGAUCGGAUGGGCCGGAAUUGCCAGAUCUACAGAAAAACAUUCAAACGGAAAACAAUAUUGCUAGGUAUCGAUAACCUCCGGGAAAAGUUGUUUCAGCCAUUAGAUUUUCAUCGCCGUUUUCAACAUUAGAUUGUAAGAAACUUUAGUUGAAAUUGUUAAUUUAAAAACUUAUGUGUAACAGACAAAUCAAAUUACUCAUCAUUUCAA